rnacentral:rRNA from 1 species
UGGGGAAUUUUGGACAAUGGGCGCAAGCCUGAUCCAGCCAUGCCGCGUGCGGGAAGAAGGCCUUCGGGUUGUAAACCGCUUUUGUCAGGGAAGAAAUCUUCUGAGUUAAUACCUCGGGAGGAUGACGGUACCUGAAGAAUAAGCACCGGCUAACUACGUGCCAGCAGCCGCGGUAAUACGUAGGGUGCAAGCGUUAAUCGGAAUUACUGGGCGUAAAGCGUGCGCAGGCGGUUUUGUAAGACAGAGGUGAAAUCCCCGGGCUCAACCUAGGAACUGCCUUUGUGACUGCAAGGCUUGAGUGCGGCAGAGGGGGGCAUGGAAUUCCGCGUGUAGCAGUGAAAAUGCGUAGAUAUGCGGAGGAACACCGAUGGCGAAGGCAAUCCCCCUGGGCCUGCACUGACGCUCAUGCACG